rnacentral:lncRNA from 10 species
GGCAGGUAAAGUGAAUUAAUUAGACCUAUAUGUAAUAGCAUGGGAUAAAUCUUGAAAAUAUGAUAUUGAGUUUUAAUAAGCAAGUUGCAAAACUAUGAUAUGAAUACUAUGAUAGCAUAAAUGUUAUUGUAUAAAUUUUUAAAACACACCAAGCAGUGUUAUGCAUUAUUUAUACAUACAUAUACUUAUGAUAAAAAUACACUAUAUUUAGAAUUAUACAAAAUUCAUGAUGAGGUUGCCUUUGGGUAAGGAGAAAGUGAGGAAAGGAAGGAGGAAAAUGUUACCGGGGAAGGGAAUUAAGGAGAUCUCAAUUUCAUCUGUAAUUUUAUUGUUAAAUAACCAGAAGCAAAAUAUUAGCAUUUGUUAAGUCUGGCUGGCAGGUACAUGGGUAUUUGUUAAAGUGUCUUUUGUAGAUGCUUUUCUGUCUUUGUUUUUUAAAUUUAAUUUAACCUGUAACUAAUGUCAAAGAGUAAAGAAUUGGUAGGUUUGACUACAUAAAAUAUAAAGUCUGUAAAGAGCAAAACCUUUUAUGCACAAUAAUUUUAAAUGAAAAUAUUUGUAACAAGCAUGAAAAACAAAGUUUAAUAUCCUUAAGCUACUACUAUAAGUUCAUGAAAAUCAAUAAUCAAUGAACGAAGAACAUGAGCAAAUACUUAGGAGACUGAGUCCGUAAAAGAUAUUCAGCCUUAUUAGUAGGCAAAGUAGUCAAAGUUAAAAUAAGUUACCCUUUUUAACACAUUUUUUAAAAUACAAUAAUCAGUGCUGGCUUGAGCAAGAGUUAAGGCACUCACACGUUUCUAAGUUGAAGUGUAAAUUAUUUCAACAUUUCUAAAAAGCAAUUUAGCAAUGCAGUUCAAGAGUCUUAAAAAUAUUCAUAUCCUUUCACACAGUGAUUCCACUUCUAAGAAUCUGUUCUAAAGAAGUAAUCUGAAACAUGUACAAAACUUAAGAUAAACAAACACAAAAAGUAUUGCAGAGGGAUUUAUAAAUAGCCUAAAUGUCUAAAGAUAGGAGAAUGAAAUUAUUAUACAACCAUAUAAAAGAAUAUUUUUUGUAGGUCUAGUCCUGAAUCCAGGUAAAAGAAUAUUUUUAAGACAGAUAGAGGCCGGGCGCGGUGGCUCACGCCUGUAAUCCCAGCACUUUGGGAGGCCGAGGCGGGCGGAUCACGAGGUCAGGAGAUCGAGACCAUCCCGGCUAAAAACGGUGAAACCCCGUCUCUACUAAAAAUACAAAAAAUUAGCCGGGCGUAGUGGCGGGCGCCUGUAGUCCCAGCUACUUGGGAGGCUGAGGCAGGAGAAUGGCGUGAACCCGGGAGGCGGAGCUUGCAGUGAGCCGAGAUCCCGCCACUGCACUCCAGCCUGGGCGACAGAGCGAGACUCCGUCUCAAAAAAAAAAAAAAAAAAAAAAAAAAGACAGAUAGAUAGAUGAAAUAGAGAGAUAGGAAGAUAGAUAGAUAGAUAGAUAGAUAGAUAGAUAUAACAAUACACAGUGAGAGACAACUAUUUCCUGGCUCUCUCUGCUGAGAGAACAAAAAAUAUUAACCAAUCCUGAAAAGUCAUGUUUAUGAGACAUGUUUAAUGAUAUGAAACACACUUACAGUAAAUACCAUAUUUCAGGGUACAAAAUUACUUUUAUAAAGAAUAUUAUUUGGAGGAUUGCCCAUUAAAUCAACCAAAAGGAAAUAUAAUAAAAUGUUAAUGAUAUAGCUCUAGUUGAUGGGAUUAGCAUUUUCUUUUCUCUAUAUAUUUCUUUUAUAAUCAAGGAAAAAAUAUUACUUUAAGUUAUAUUGCCUUAUGUAAAUGAGCAGUUUACUUGAAGAAAAAUAGAUUCUAAGAUAAUUAAUUUCCAUUAUAAAAUAAGGAUUUUAGAAAGAUGGUGGAGAAGCAGUUGAUUUAUUGAAGAAAUGAGAAAGACCACCAUGGAGCAAGUAGAGAUUACUAUUAAUAAUUUCGUUUCAGUGCAUGUGCUACCCAACACUUCAGAGGGAAUGGCACUCUGAUUAUCAGAGGACCAGAGAGUUGACAAAGUUGAUUGAAGGAUUACUAAAGGGCCAGAAUUUCAGAAAGAAAAGGCCUUUAUUAACACGUGUUCCAGUUACCAAAGCAUAGGGAAAUGUUGUAUGCUGCAGAAAUGGGAUCUCAAAACUAUGUCCCUUACAGAAAAAAUAAAAUAAAAUAAACUACAUUUUCUGCUGAAGUAACAAUUUGCACAAAGGCCUUGAA